rnacentral:rRNA from 1 species
GACGAACGCGGGCGGCGUGCUAAUACAUGCAAGUAGAACGCUGAAGAGAGGAGCUUGCUCUUCUGGAUGAGUUGCGAACGGGUGAGUAACGCGUAGGUAACCUGCCUUGUAGCGGGGGAUAACUAUUGGAAACGAUAGCUAAUACCGCAUAACAAUGGAUGACACAUGUCAUUUAUUUGAAAGGGGCAAUUGCUCCACUACAAGAUGGACCUGCGUUGUAUUAGCUAGUAGGUGAGGUAACGGCUCACCUAGGCGACGAUACAUAGCCGACCUGAGAGGGUGAUCGGCCACACUGGGACUGAGACACGGCCCAGACUCCUACGGGAGGCAGCAGUAGGGAAUCUUCGGCAAUGGGGGCAACCCUGACCGAGCAACGCCGCGUGAGUGAAGAAGGUUUUCGGAUCGUAAAGCUCUGUUGUAAGUCAAGAACGAGUGUGAGAGUGGAAAGUUCACACUGUGACGGUAGCUUACCAGAAAGGGACGGCUAACUACGUGCCAGCAGCCGCGGUAAUACGUAGGUCCCGAGCGUUGUCCGGAUUUAUUGGGCGUAAAGCGAGCGCAGGCGGUUUGAUAAGUCUGAAGUUAAAGGCUGUGGCUCAACCAUAGUUCGCUUUGGAAACUGUCAAACUUGAGUGCAGAAGGGGAGAGUGGAAUUCCAUGUGUAGCGGUGAAAUGCGUAGAUAUAUGGAGGAACACCGGUGGCGAAAGCGGCUCUCUGGUCUGUAACUGACGCUGAGAAGCGAAAGCAUGGGGAGCGAACAGG